rnacentral:rRNA from 1 species
GUCCACGCCGUAAACGAUGGGUACUAGGCGUCGGGGGGAGCGACCCCCUCGGUGCCGUCGCUAACGCAGUAAGUACCCCGCCUGGGGAGUACGGCCGCAAGGCUGAAACUCAAAGGAAUUGACGGGGGCCCGCACAAGCGGUGGAGCAUGUGGUUUAAUUCGAAGCAACGCGAAGAACCUUACCUGGGCUUGACAUGCACGAGAAACCCGGUGGAAACAUCGGGCCCUCUUCGGAGUUCGUGCACAGGUGCUGCAUGGCUGUCGU